AGAGGCGUGAGUGGGUAAUUCUGAAAGUAAUUUUUGAAACCACAUUCCACAGGAACUUGCAAUAGGAAUUGAACUUUGAGAACCACCCACCUCAACCACUCCUAGUACCAGUCUCCAGGAUUCUUGCCCUGACUUGGACAUUUGUGGGAUUUAUGGUUAAGGGAGAUCACUUGGCCAUAAAUCCCCGGUGAGGAAUGAUGAUGGUCCUCCCUCCCUACCCCCAAAAUUAAAGGCGCGAGAGCAGGACUCCCUGAAGGGAAACGGCCACCAUUUCUGCGAGGUCUGCGCAAACCUUACCAUGUAUGUGCCACCGUGAAACGCCGCUGUUUGGGGAUGUUGCUGCUGAGAAGCAUUCUGCGCAGAAGCCUGGGGGAAUUUCUCGGAGAGAUCACUGGAGAGAGCUUGGGAGAAACCGAUUUCCUCGCUGUCUUGGACUUCUCAUGCUGCAACAGGUUUUCUCGCAAGGAUUUCACAAGGUCUUCGUUCAGCCACGGGUUUGGACAAUGCGGAUUAUCCACUUCAGCUGGAAAAAUCCAAGAAUGAAUGAAAGAGCUUGUAGAUAGGCCCAGACAGUGGGCAGCAUGGCUCUUCUCCAGCCUGGGACACAGCUCAUCACUCAGGGUGGAUCCUGGAGAGAAGCUGCCUGAGUUCAGCCUUUGCCUAUCCCAGUACUCACUGUGUGCACCCAGAGGAGCUUCUGUGUAUCUGUGAGACCCUGUUUCCUCAUCUGCAAUACCAGGACUCAUAUCCUAGCGGGGCUCUGAAAACUAGAUCAGCUAAUGUAAGGCUUGGCCAUGUAUUUUCUCAAGAAUCGUUGCUGUGAAAGAGCCAGUGAAGUCACAGAGGGUAAAGUCAAUGGUCAACCUUCCUGAUUAAUGAAUAUUGAUUGAGCAUUCACCAUUUAAUAGUUAGCUCCUUCUAAGUCUAAUCGUUUUUAGUUUCUCCUGACACCUGUCAUGUAAGAGGCUCUAUAUGUGAGGAUAGACUUAGGGGGCAGUUGGUUCCUCUUUUUGGACACAGAACAGGAAGAAUAAAGAGAUCUCAGAAGGAAAAGGAAAGUGGGAGGAGGCUGGGUCUGUGGGUUCCCCGGUGGAUCACGCUGAAAGAAUACCUGGCAGACACUUAAUCUCUGCGGCAAAUGCAUGAAAGUAGAAGGAUGAAGCCAACUUUCCAAAAACUUUUAUGAAAUUACUUCAGUGAGAAAACCUAUUAAAUAAAUUACAGCCAUUCUAUAAAAAUAGAAUUCUAUGUUACUUCUAUAUAUAUACUUCUACUAUAUAUACUUGUACUAUAUUACAGUAGAAAUCAGUCAAUCCAAUCCCCUAUUGGGCAGAAGGGAAACUUGCCUCGGACCACACUGUCGGCUGGGGUCCUUAGCACGGUACUAGGUCUCCACCUCCAUGCACUACCCUGGUUCAGAGCUGGUGCUAUGGGUUGAAUUGUGUCCCUGCAAAAAUAGGCUGAAGUUCCAACCCCAGUACCUCAGAAAGGGACUUUGCUUGGAAAUAGGGUCUUUAGAGAGGUAAUCGAGUUAAAAUAAGGUCAUUAGAGUGGGCCUUAUCUGAUGUGAGGGGAAUUCUUAUAAAAUGGGGAAAUGCAGACACACACAUAUGCAGGAGGAAGGCACUAUGAAGAAACAAAGAGAGAAGACGGCUAUCCAAGGAGAGAGGCCUGGAACAAAUCCUUGCCUCACGGUUCUCAGAAGGAAACAACCUUGACAACACAUUACUUUUGGAUUUCUGGCCUCCAGAACUGUGAGACAAUGCAUUUUGGCUGUUGUAAGCCACCUAGGUUGUGAUACUUCCUUACAGCAGCCCUAGGAAAUGAAUACAGCUGGGGACCAGGCUUUUAGUCAAAAGAUCAGGGAGGAAGUCUGGUGUCUUGGGAGAAAUUUCUAGAUUAUAGGAGUCACUGAAUAUCGUAACUUUGAAAAAUCCAUUUUGAAUCUCACCAGAAACACAAAAGCCUGUAGAAAUCCAAUUAUACAAAUUUACAGUCUAGAAAAGGAAAAAAAAUGAAAUUACUCUUCAUGCACAUUUAAGCAGAGUUUAGGACUGGAAAAUAAACAAGGCUUUGGUAACUGGGGAGUGCAGUGCUAACAACACAGUUGCAGGUAUGUGGCUGUGUGGGUUUGAGCUUGGCUCUGCCUUUUACCAACUCCGUGACCUUCAGUCACUGCCCCCACUGUCUUCAGCUUUCUCCAAAAAGAGUGUUGUGUGUCCUCUUGGAGGCCAUACCCUGGGGUGCUCAGCACAGGGUUUCACACACAGUGACUAUUAACUGGAUUUUAGCUCCUAUUAUAAUUACUAAUAGCAGAUAAUUGCCUUAUUAAAAAAAUUAAAGGCAAGCCCCC
rnacentral:lncRNA from 1 species